rnacentral:rRNA from 1 species
AUGGGGUUCAACAGAGCACAGUUGUUUGGUGCCUUCGCCCUGGGCUUGCUCAUCAUGAUCCACAGUGUGGAGGCGGUUAAUCCCCGUCCCCGGAUAUGCCAUUCCCCUAGCCAUUUUUAUAGUGGCUCAUGCAACAACAGGAAAUGCACGGAGACGUGCCACCACGAGCACUUCACCGGCGGCUACUGCACACGUAGAGGGGCUGUUAAAGAACUUCACUGUCAAUGUACCAUGAGAUGCAGCAAGCAUAGUCCUCCACCGCCGGCGGAAGUGCUGCCACCGCCGCCGUUAAAAGUGCCACCACCACCAAAUGUCAUGCCGGCGAGAAAA